rnacentral:rRNA from 1 species
CCAAUAGCGUAUAUUAAAGUUGUUGCAGUUAAAAAGCUCGUAGUUGAAUUUCGGGAUCAAUAUGUCGGUCGUGCCUUCGGUACGUACUGGCAUCAUUGAUUUCUCCCUUCUGACGAACCAUGAUGUCAUUAAUUUGGGGUUAUGGGGAGUCAGGAUUGUUACUUGGAACAAAUUAGAGUGUUUAAAGCAGGCUCACGCUUGAAUACAUUAGCAUGGAAUAAUGAAAUAGGACGUUUGACCCUAUUUUGUUGGUUUCUAGGAUCAACGUAAUGAUUAAUAGGGAUAGUUGGGGGCAUUAGUAUUCAAUUGUCAGAGGUGAAAUUCUUGGAUUUAUUGAAGACUAACUACUGCGAAAGCAUUUGCCAAGGAUGUUUUCAUUAAUCAAGAACGAAAGUUAGGGGAUCGAAGACGAUCAGAUACCGUCGUAGUCUUAACCAUAAACUAUGCCGACUAGGGAUCGGAUGAUGUUAAUUUUUUAAUGACUCAUUCGGCGCCUUACG